rnacentral:rRNA from 1 species
UAAUUUGAUGCAACGCGAAGAACCUUACCUGGGCUUGAAAGGCAAGAUUUUAGUCCUUGAAAGAGGAUUACCCGCAAGGGGUCUUGUACAGGUGCUGCAUGGCUGUCGUCAGCCCGUGCCGUGAGGUGUUAGGUUAAGUCCUGCAACGAGCGCAACCCCUACACUUAGUUGCCAUCAGGUAAUGCUGGGCACUCUAAGUGGACUGCCUACGCAAGUAGCGAGGAAGGUGGGGAUGACGUCAAGUCCUCAUGGCCCUUACGCCCAGGGCCGCACACGUGCUACAAUGGCCACUACAGAGGGUUGCUAAAGCGCAAGCUGGAGCUAAUCCCAAAAAAGUGGUCUCAGUUCAGAUUGUGGGCUGCAACUCGCCCACAUGAAGCUGGAAUUGCUAGUAAUCGCGGAUCAGCACGCCGCGGUGAAUACGUU